GUGGGGAAUAUUGGACAAUGGGCGAAAGCCUGAUCCAGCCAUGCCGCGUGUGUGAAGAAGGUCUUCGGAUUGUAAAGCACUUUAAGUUGGGAGGAAGGGCAGUAAGCUAAUACCUUGCUGUUUUGACGGUACCGACAGAAUAAGCACCGGCUAACUUUGUGCCAGCAGCCGCGGUAAUACGAAGGGUGCAAGCGUUAAUCGGAAUUACUGGGCGUAAAGCGCGCGUCGGUGGUUCAGCAAGUUGGAGGUGAAAUCCCCGGGCUCAACCUGGGAACUGCCUGCAAAACUGCAUGACUAGAGUGCGGUAGAGGGUAGGGGAAUUUCCUGUGUAGCGGUAAAAUGCGUAGAUAUAGGAAGGAACACCAGGGGCGAACGCGACUACCUGGACUGAUACUGACACUGAGGUGCGAAAGCGUGGGGAGCAAACAGGAUUAGAUACCCCAGUAGUCC
rnacentral:rRNA from 1 species